rnacentral:ncRNA from 2 species
UCGUAACAAGGUCUCCGUUGGUGAACCAGCGGAGGGAUCAUUACCGAGUUUUCAACUCCCAAACCCUUUUGUGAACAUACCUAUCGUUGCUUCGGCGGACUCGCCCCAGCGUCCGGCCGGCCCCGCGCCGGCCGCGGCCUGGAUCCAGGCGGCCGCCGGAGACCCCCAAACUCUGUAUUCUCAGUAUCUUCUGAAUCCGCCGCAAGGCAAAACAAAUGAAUCAAAACUUUCAACAACGGAUCUCUUGGUUCUGGCAUCGAUGAAGAACGCAGCGAAAUGCGAUAAGUAAUGUGAAUUGCAGAAUUCAGUGAAUCAUCGAAUCUUUGAACGCACAUUGCGCCCGCCAGCAUUCUGGCGGGCAUGCCUGUUCGAGCGUCAUUUCAACCCUCGACUUCCCUUUGGGGAAAUCGGCGUUGGGGACCGGCCGUAUACCGCCGGCCCCGAAAUGAAGUGGCGGCCCGUCCGCGGCGACCUCUGCGUAGUAAUCCAACUCGCACCGGAACCCCGACGUGGCCACGCCGUAAAACCCCCGACUUCUGAACGUUGACCUCGGAUCAGGUAGGAAUACCCGCUGAACUUAAGCAUAUCAAUA